rnacentral:rRNA from 1 species
UACGAAGGGGGCUAGCGUUGUUCGGAAUUACUGGGCGUAAAGCGUGCGCAGGCUGUUUUGUAAGUCAGAUGUGAAAUCCCUGGGCUCAACCUAGGAACUGCGUUUGAAACUACAAGGCUAGAGUGUAGCAGAGGGGGGUAGAAUUCCACGUGUAGCAGUGAAAUGCGUAGAGAUGUGGAGGAAUACCAAUGGCGAAGGCAGCCCCCUGGGUUAACACUGACGCUCAUGCACGAAAGCGUGGGGAGCAAACAGG